UUAGCCUAUAGUGAGGGUCCUGAAGGGGGAGGGGAGGGUCCCAAUCCCAUUUUCCACCUGAAAUUUUGGCGAAAUCCCAGUCCCAGUUGGAUUUUUAUUAGAAAUCCCAGUCCGAGUUAUUGAAACCCCAGUCAAUAAAAACCCCUUUAUUUAUCGGUAGAAUAAACAGUUUUAAGACCUUUUAAGCCACCGUGUGUGCAAGUGGCGGACAUUUUAUGAAAUAUUGGGCGGGAGGCUCGUGCCGAAGGAACGGAAAAUUUUUAAAUUUGAAUCCCGGAAAUGGCAUUUGCAUCAUUCUGAGACACGCAUAAUCAGAAAACCCCAAAUUCCUGUCGGCAUCCAUUUUGCGGCCCUCGAAAAGUCAAAAUCUCGGCAUUUCUUAAAAUCUGUUCCACGUCUUGGAGCACUAUUAAUCACGCAUUUAAUUUACGAAUCAUUGAAAUCGGAAUAUAACUGGAACGUUACCUGCAGCCGGAAAAUUCGAAAGUUGGAGCCAAAUUUUAACUCCAGACGGGCGAAAUUUGAUCUUCAAACAUCUAACGUAUAUACACAAAACACAAUACCCGUCAGUUUUUAAACCUUACACCGUAAUAAAAUUUGCAUUGCUGCAUGUGUGGCUUCUUUGAUGCAUGCUAUUCGUGAUAUUCGCUUUGAAUUCAAUUAUUCAGGAGGUCAAUUUUGGUUUCUUCAGUGGUUAUCUUUAGCCAAUCCAGUUUUGCCGACUGAGAUAACAAUUUGCCGAUUAGCUGACGAGUGGGGGGGUGUUCCACCCCCCCACCCCCCCCUGUAGCGCCGCCCCUGCUUUUUUCAAACUGAAAUAUAUGUGCUUAGUUUUCUCUGAAGUAGUCGCAUAAAUCAUUGAGAUUAGGGCUACAUUUUAUUAAACUCGCGAUGCGACUACAAUGACAAUGUCAAUGUAAUUAGUGACGUGUUUGAUAGUUUGUAUAAACAAACUUCCGAAUACACAGAAAUUAUAAAGUAAUAUCAAACCUGAUGUAUAGAACAUACGCUGAAUUUACUUUGUUAUAUGCACAAUAACUGCAUGUAAGCGACUUGCUCUUUUAAGAAACCAAUUUGCUAAUAAUCAUUCUUUUUUCAAAAUCAUGCGGAUCUUUAUUUAUCAUUUAAAUAAUAUACCCUUAAAAUACUGACAAUAGAUUAAUUUUAAGUAGCUACAUUAUCCAUGACAAACUGCAAAAAAUGAAGAUAUUACCCAUACUUUUCUGCAACUUAUCCAACAUAUCAGACUUGUAAACACGAUGGCAUACCCUAUAGGGAGUAUCGUUAAGUUGAAGUUCUGAGCAAUUUCAGAACUCUGUAUGUCGCCGCCAUGCCAUUAAGUUGGGGCCAUGGUCCCGCUUCCCCGGGUCCUGAAAUUUAAUGAAGUGUGACGUGCGUAUUUUGAGCAAUGUAAAUUAGUCGCACUUCAUGAUAUAACAAAAUUGCUCGUUACAAAUUGUAUGAAAUUCCAUGUCUUAUUAUUCCAUGAAAUUCCAUGUCUAUUAAUCGUCUUCUUUCACUACAUAACUUCAGGCGCAUUCCUAAUUUCGUUUAAAAAAUAUUUAAAGUUAUCUAACUUUUGUUUAGGGCUGAAACACGUAUUUCAAUUGCUCGAUCAAAAUACGUUACACUUCAUUGAAUCCCGGGUAAGCGGGACCAUAUAAACUGCCCUUAUAAUCAAAUUUCUCAUGAGAGCGAAACGCAGUGCCGUAGCUAGCUCGAUAAUUGGGGGGGGGGCAGAUAUUCAUAUAUUCGUGUUCUGCGUUAUUAAUUUCUUUUGAAAUCGAUUGUUUUUAUGGUCUGUGAACACGAAUAUAUGAAUAUCUGCCCCCCCCAAUUAUCGAGCUAGCUACGGCACUGGCGAAAUGCAAAUUUUGUAUCAUCGCCUCUGAUCAUCGCCCAUGUUUGUAUAUUUUAAAUUCCGAUGUAUAUUAAAAUACGUAUACUUUCAAACAUCAUACCUCGCAUCAGACUUAUAGUUCUUCAGCGAAACUUUCAGUAUACAUAUAGAUUAUAGCCGUAGGCGAAAUUUUUUAGUUUUGAGAGCAAAACUAAUUGUUUUGCCGCUUUUGGGAGCUUUCAAAAUGGUUGUAAAACUUUUGAAAUGGAUAAAAAUUUACUAUUUUCGACCCUCGACCCUCGUUAUAAACGUCAAUUGCAUUUAGGUAAUGAGUUCCACAGUUUAACUCCAUCACAACAGAAGCUUUUCUUAAGGUCGAGAAAUAAGCGAGAUUUAAAAAAAGCUUUUAAAUGUAUUCCACGUCAUUUUAAAAGUUCUUUCAGAUAAGGGAAUCUAAUUUCUAUAUUCAUGCUACUUCCGAUCAUAUCCCUCCUCAACAGGGCCGUUCCUAGACGCGAUAAUGCGGGGGGUAUUCAUAUAUUCAUGCUCGCUACCGUAAAAACAAUCGCUUUCAAAAGAAAUUCGUCGGGCAGAAGACGAAUAUAUGAACGUACACCCCCCAAUUAUCACGCUAGGAACGGCCCUGUCCCUUUAAUUAAACGACUGACCUUGCCCGGCUUCAAUGAAAAUAAGGCCGAAGUUUGACGCUUAAACUGAACUGCUUAGAGCACAACAUGCUCAAAUAUAAGUAAUUGACUGUUUAUAGUAAGUAUAUAUAGCCUUGAAUCUAGCGAGUGUACAAGUGUUUCUAGUUUAUUUUAAUUGGCGCGCAUGGAUCGAUCAAUUGAAACAAGAAUUUCAAGCAGAAAUCUUAGUCUUGGAGACUUUAACAGCGUAUUUUUAUCUAGAAAUAGGCAAACUAGUUUAAAAUUAUCUACGUCUUACAUUUCCUAUCAAUAACAAGAGAAAACUAGCAAGAAUGAUUAAAGUUCGACUGUCUAUAGUUGAAGCAAAGUGCCUAAUUGUCUGAGGAUUUUUAAGGGUUUUUUUGUGAUUUUCUCGAUAUUAUAGUCAGUAUAAUUCCGCGGUAACAAAAAGCCCCAAAAUAAUAUUUACAUCAGGUUUUAGAGCAACAGUUUGUCUUUAAAUUCCGUAAAUUGGAGUUUUCCCGGAUACCGAAAAUUAAUUUUCAAAAAGUGUAACAAUUUAGAAUUUUUUGGAUCGCAAAAAAAGACGAUUUUUACACGCUUGUCUUGACAUCGAAAAAUCAUUUCAAAAAUUGCAAAUUGGACCCACGGUCUUUAUAAACAUCUUAUAAACACGUUUAAAAACGAAAGGUGAGGUUUCAUCACACGCCAAUUGAGAAAAACGAAAUUUUCGAGAGACCGUAGCUCACAAUUUUUUUUGCUAAUUUCGCGAAUCUCGGGUAUGUGUGAGGUUUUGAUAAUUUUCGGCGUUUAAAAUAAUAUUUCAGAAAACAAACCCCACCACGUUUCUGAGUACACAUUAGAGUAUCACUGGAAAAAAUAAGAAGAUUUUUUAUUUUUCCUCAUGUGCCACGUAUUCUCGAUUUUGCUCGGUUUUAGUGGACAUUGUCUCUUAAAUGAUGAAAAGCUACUGAAGCUCAACGACAAAGAAAAACGAACUAUUAAAAAUAACGACGAAAGGCUGAAGGAAGACGAGAACUUUGAAAAGGAACGAUUUCAAUAUUAACAUUAUAGUGACACCAAUUAAAAAUGUUGUAACGAUUCACUACCUAAAUAAAGCCUCGUAGUUAUUGUUUCAUAUUUAAUUAUUUUCCCCCUGUAAAUAAUAAUAAUGUUAAUGGUAUAAAUUGGGUUGAAUUUCAGUUCGAUCAAAUGGACCAUUUGCAUUACAGACUAAGUUUUGCUCUAAACAAGCCUAGACAAAAAUUGCAUCACAGCUUGAAAGAGCAUCACAAAAUUAUAAAUAUUCCAAAGUUUCGAAGCGAAAUGUUGUAAAAUGCGGAUAAUAUAGCCUUGCAAAGUUUGCCGUUUUUCGAUCAUUUUGCAUUACGCGGGGGAAAUUGACAGCCCAAUACCCUUUGGCCGUUUGGGGCUGUCAAUUUCCCGUUUGUAAUGCAAAUUGACUGAAAAACGGCAAACAUCGCAAGGCUAUAUUAUCAUGUAUAUUAUACGUAUUUUACAACAUUUCGCAACGGAACAUUGGAAUAGUACUAAUUUUGUGAUGCUCUUUCAAGCUGUGAUGACAUUUUUGUUUUUACACCCCCCACCCUCCCUCUUUUACUAUAGAUGUAUCGUUAUACCAAAAUUGGACGCCCUCUUUCAGUUUAGAUCAAAAUUUAGUCUACAAUGCAAAUGGUCCAUUAUUGAUGUAUACUUCUUUCUUUUUUUGUAAAUACACAGGAAAUUUUUCAACGCAAUACAAAACGAUAUAUCUUGAUCUUACUGAAAUCAGACUCUAAAAUGCAGUUGGGGGGGGGGGGGGUCAAGGGGCCCCGCUCCAAUAAUAUGCCACGGGCCCCGCGGAACGUUGAUCCGGCCCUGGUGUGCAUGUAUAUACUAAGGUGAUCCCAUUGUAAGGUGUAGGGGUAAAUAUAAACUAGAAGUCAUGCACUUCUCCAGCAAAUCAGUGAAGGCUUCUAAUUGGUGAUGUGUAAUAGGCUACUACAUUCAUGCAGGUGGAAGCCAGAGCUAGGUGUAUACAAUAUGCAGUAUACAUUGCACGUUAUAGUAUACAUAUAAUGCAUAUUAUUAAAAAUGUAUAAAAUGUAAUAAAACGUUUUCUCCG